GAGCGCAGGAGCCAUCCCGAUCGUUGUGUAUGUAGUUAAAACUGCAUGACCAUCUGCUCACCUAGGAGUCGAGGAGCCAAUGGCCAUAAGCUCGUCUUUUGGGGCGCCGUCUCAGUCCAUGAGGGAGGACAACUACGUCCGGAACAACAUCAAGUUCCUCUCCCACCCAAGGUGGCAUGAAGUUGAAUGAUGCAUGUACUGCUUCUAGUUGUCUUGGCCAGAUGAAAACAUCCUUUUUCUUUUCGAGAAAGUUAUGUUGGGAUCCCAAAGAUAGUGAGUCACCUGGAUGCAUUGCCUAGAACCAGUGCUCAAGUUCACCAUCAGAGCAAUCAUUGAGCACUCUGAUGUCGGUGCAGAUGAUUGUCCAAACAAUUCCAUAUUCCACAAAAUAACUUGGAAUGUUUGUGUAAUCAUUGAAGCUCAUUUGAAGUUCAUCAAUAGUCAUUUAUGCACAAGUCAGUGAAGCUCAUUUGAAGUUCAUCAAUAGUCAUUUAAGCACAAGUCCCUGGCUGGAAAUAAAACUGCAUAUUAGGUGAAUUUAGAGAUAGUAGUUGAUAUGUAUAACUUCAACAGAUUGAGUAUGUGUAUGUGCAAUGUAUAUAUAUGGAUAGAACCUAUGUAUUUGUGACGUAUACAAGAUCUAUUUAAUGUAUUGUUUUCCUUUUUUUGUUUCUUAA